GUAGGGGGCAAGCGUUAUCCGGAUUUAUUGGGUUUAAAGGGAGCGUAGGCCGGAGAUUAAGCGUGUUGUGAAAUGUAGAUGCUCAACAUCUGCACUGCAGCGCGAACUGGUUUCCUUGAGUACGCACAAAGUGGGCGGAAUUCGUGGUGUAGCGGUGAAAUGCUUAGAUAUCACGAAGAACUCCGAUUGCGAAGGCAGCUCACUGGAGCGCAACUGACGCUGAAGCUCGAAAGUGCGGGUAUCAAACAGGAUUAGAUACCCUGGUAGUCCACACAGUAAACGAUGAAUACUCGCUGUUUGCGAUAUACGGCAAGCGGCCAAGCGAAAGCGUUAAGUAUUCCACCUGGGGAGUACGCCGGCAACGGUGAAACUCAAAGGAAUUGACGG
rnacentral:rRNA from 1 species